rnacentral:rRNA from 1 species
AUUUUUAACAAGGUUUCCAUAAGUGAACCAGCGGAGGGAUCAUU